ensembl:lncRNA
CAAGACCCCUCGGCAUGCUGUCAUCCUCCUGCGGUGCUGUGGGCCACAAGGCUGGGGAGAUGCAGGGAGUGAAGAAGGUGUAAAGCAAGGUGUUGGUGGGACUGCUAGGACAAGUAGAGUUAUUCACUGUUGUAAGAACUAGCAAACAGCAAGUGGUUUUCAUAUAGUCUGUAAAGGGGGUAGGUUUGUGUGUGUGUUUUAUUAGUGUGAGACCCUUUGUAAUUCAAAGGAGAAAGUGUGGGACAAGGGAAUAGUCUUCUAAGGACUUUAUGACCUCCGUCUAUUACAAUGUCAGCAUAAAAUUUCUUACAUCUUUACGGUACUUGCGACUUUUAUAUUGUACUAUAAUUCUGUACCCACUUUGAGGUAUUCUGUUCACUGUGGUGAAUUUUAUUCACAAGUGCUAGGAAUAAAUAACAGCGUGCUCUGAGAUGACCCAACUACUUCAGUACAAUACUGGUAGACAAAUUAUUAACAUCUUUUCCAUGCAACAUUCCUUACAUCUUGCACAUAAGCUGCAUGCAAUUUUCUCCCAUUAUGCAGAGUCCUGGAAAUAGCGUAUGCUCUGGGGGGGAAAAAAGUGCCACAGAGUGCCUUGAAGUCCUGAUCAGUGCAGACUGGUGGUCCUGCUACCUGCCACCUCCAGAGCUGCCCUUCGGACCAGUUCUCCCUGGAAAGAGCCAUCCUCAAGCCUGCUGAAAGUGACCCAUUCUACUCCAUCUCAGCUGCAUGAGAAGCACAAAACAUCUUACUACAAUGGGAAUUUAUAUGCAGAUGAGUUUUCCAUUGCAUUCACAAGCAGAUUCAAAUCCCUGGAGUUCUUGGGAGCCAGACCUCCAGCUCAGGUCCUCAAUGGUUUUUGCCCUUCACACGAGCUGCAUGGAGUGCCAGAACGUUGCCAGCAGAUCUCCCUUGCAUCCCUGUGCUUUUAUUCUGGUGCUGAGGAUCUCUAUGGCCCUGCAGCUGCAGACCCUGGUGCUGGGCAUGGGGAGCAAACUGCACCUGUCAUGAGAAACACCUUUGCCUACUCUCAUCUCUUUGCUUCUGGAUUUUUCUGGUUUUGGUUCAUAUCGAGAGGAAAUCACACACAUUGCAUGAUAAAGCAGGUUACUGUUGUUAAAAUACCUGAUAAACACUACCCAGAAAUACACAUGAUCAGAAACUUAAAAGUUGAUCAGUAAAAAACAUCAGUACCUCAUAAGCGUGCUUCAGCAGUGCUAAUAUCUCCAGUGCCAUAAUAAGCUAGAACCCCAGGAGGCAAUUUGUAUCAAUCCCCACUGAAAACAUGCAGUAUUGAGGAAAAACUAUUUGAGAGUAGAGUAAAACUAAUUAGGGCACUAGGAGAAAAGCAAGGGGAGAGUGAGAAAUGUGAUACUUGUCUAAAGCCAUUAGGUGAGGAGGCAGAUGAUAAUACUGGGAUCAGGUUCUUUCCAUCUUGCCCAGGGAGUUACAGGAGCUAAGAAGGACAUCAAAGACAGCAGGAUGCAAAGGACUGGAUACAGCUGCGAGCAAUCCAAAUCACCUCACAAGUGCACAGUGUUUUGCAGUAAGUAUAGCAGAAAAGUGAAUUAGAGUAUUCCUAGUCCCUUGCUAAAUCCAGGUGUGAAAGAGAAAGGAGACUUUACAGAGAUGUAGCUGGGAGAUGUCACCA